rnacentral:rRNA from 1 species
UACGAAGGGUGCAAACGUUGCUCGGAAUCAUUGGGCGUAAAGCGCACGUAGGCGGCUUCGCAAGUCGGAUGUGAAAUCCCGUGGCUCAACCAUGGACGUGCAUCCGAAACUGUGAGGCUUGAGUAUGGAAGAGGGUCGCGGAAUUCCCGGUGUAGAGGUGAAAUUCGUAGAUAGUCGGGAGGAACACCAGUGGCGAAGGCGGCGACCUGGGCCAAUACUGGACGCUG